UACGUAGGUGGCAAGCGUUAUCCGGAUUUACUGGGUGUAAAGGGUGAGUAGGCGGGUCUGCAAGUCAGGUGUGAAAUACUGCGGCCCAACCGCAGAAUUGCAUUUGAAACUACGGAUCUUGAGUGUCGGAGAGGUAAUUGGAAUUCCCAGUGUAGCGGUGAAAUGCGUAGAGAUUGGGAGGAACACCAGUGGCGAAGGCGGAUUACUGGACGACAACUGACGCUGAGACACGAAAGCGUGGGGAGCAAACAGGAUUAGAUACCCGGGUAGUCCCU
rnacentral:rRNA from 1 species